rnacentral:rRNA from 1 species
GACGAACGCUGGCGGCAGGCCUAACACAUGCAAGUCGAGCGAGCGGCAGACGGGUGAGUAAUGUAUGGGGAUCUGCCUGAUGGAGGGGGAUAACUACUGGAAACGGUAGCUAAUACCGCAUACCAUCAGAUGAACCCAUAUGGGAUUAGCUUGUAGGUGAGGUAACGGCUCACCAAGGCGACGAUCCGUAGCUGGUCUGAGAGGAUGAGCAGCCACACUGGGACUGAGCCACGGCCCAGACUCCUACGGGAGGCAGCAGUGGGGAAUUUUGCACAAUGGGCGAAAGCCUGAUACAGCCAUGCCGCGUGUAUGAAGAAGGCCUUCGGGUUGUAAAGUACUUUCAGUCGGGAGGCGUUACCUGCAGAAGAAGCACCGGCUAACUCCGUGCCAGCAGCCGCGGUAAUAC